rnacentral:lncRNA from 1 species
UUACAUUUCCAUCAGAUCAAAGUUGAGGCUGUUGUUUCCUUCUGCUCAGGAUUCACCUGCUGAUUGUGCCAUGACUCUGCCAGUCUUGGGCAUGAAAGCCUACUGCCAUCUCCUGCCCAGAGACAUCAGAAGCCCUCACUGACUAGAACCUCCUCAAAUCCAAGGCACUGGAAAAGAUGCCCAAGACCAAGAACAGAGGUUCUGGAGAGGAAAAACACGGGAAAGGUUGCAAUGAAUAUUGAACACCUUACCUGGUUGAAGUUUAGGAGACAAAAGCAAGAUAAGGGCCAUUUGGUUCAGGGCCAUAUGGAUCCUUAGACUUCUGCGCUUAGCUCUCUUCUCAUGCUACUCAGAUUCCCACCUGCUCUGGUUCAGGGCACUUUCUACCAAUAUCUCUCAAAGUGGAUCAUAUGACUUAAUAUCACCUUGACCUGACAACACCUACUGAAUUUGAAUCUAAUAGUGUCUGUGUGGCUCCAAGUUGUUAACUUUUUGUCUUUUAAUUAAGCUCCUAAGAUCAUUUUUAUGAAUAUUGAAGUUUGACAUCCAGUUAGGAAAAGGAGAGUGGUUGCCUUUGCUGUCUGUGUCAGUAAUAGUGACUGGAAAUUGUCCUGAUAGAUACUAACUGCUCUAUCAUUCUUCAUUACAAUGAUUAUAUAUUUAUCAAUUUUCCUCACUUGCUUGUAAGCCCCUAAAAGAUAGAAAUUAAUUAUCUUUGUAUUUCAUUAGUUUAGUAGAAUGCUU